UACGUAGGGGGCUAGCGUUGUCCGGAAUCAUUGGGCGUAAAGAGCGCGUAGGCGGCCAGAUAAGUCCGGUGUGAAAGUCACAGGCUCAACCUGUGAAUGCCGCUGGAAACUGUCUGGCUUGAGUCCGGGAGGGGCGAGUGGAAUUCCUGGUGUAGCGGUGAAAUGCGCAGAUAUCAGGAAGAACACCCGUGGCGAAGGCGGUCUCUCGUAGGGA
rnacentral:rRNA from 1 species